rnacentral:misc_RNA from 1 species
AAAAUAGAAAAUAAUUUCAAACAAAAAAAAAAACAACAUACCGAGGGCCAAUACAAAUUGUUGUGCAUGUUUUUGUUGCAGAAUCGGCUGUCUCUCGUAUGAGUAUGUGUAUGUGUGUGUGUGUGUGUUUUGUGCUUGUGUGCGUAUGUCGACUGUAAGUGCAUGUGUAGUGGAAUUAAAAAUGCAAGCAAUCGCAUUAAAAUAAGCGUAAUGCAUAAAUAAAGUUUUAGCUGCAUAAAAAAACAGAACCAAAGGCAAAUGUUAAUUCACGCAGUGUAAAACAACAAAACUAGCAAAGCCAACAACAAAUGUGGGGCCAUUCGUGUGCCAUUGUGUAUGUAUGGGUGUGAGUGUGUGUAAAAACGACGACAAGAGCGCAAUAAGAUAAAAUUGAAGGUUAUUCUCUACAAAAAAAAAAAAUAACAAGUGCCUGUGUAUAUGUGUGUGAGAGAUAGAGAGUGAGAGAGAGAGAGAGAGAGGCACACACAAAAAUGGGGAGAGCGCACGCUCACUCGAAGAAAGCAGCGCACAAAAGCAAAUGCUGAAAAUGUCAAUAAACUCUGCAAAGGUGAAAAACAAAAUAUGUAUAAAAAACAGCGGCAUUCAUUGUGCAAUAAUACUAUCGUUCGCGUUAUUGUGCAAAUAUUUUUUAUAAAACCAUUUUUACAACAACAACAAAUGUCUGAAUUAUUUGCAUUCAAAAUGCAUAACAUGUGCAUAGAAAAUUAAUUACAGUUUUUAAUAAAACAAAAAUGAAUAAUUAAUUAAAAUUUACACAAAAUUAUGUAAACAAUUUUUAUUGUAAUCAAGUAAAACAAUUUCAAAUUAAGCGAGAAAUUUAAUACUGAGACUUGGGCAACGCGGCAACAUUUUAGGGAAUAUCCAAAACAAAUCUUAUUAGACUGAAAACAAGCACAAUUGGAAUAUUAAUUUUAAAAUUUUGAAUGACGUUUGGUGGAGCGCACAGAUACUUGUACAGAUACCGGCAUUGUCAACCUGUCGCUCAUUUGCACAGAGGCACAGACGAACGGAGAGCCUACGUACGGCUGUACAUUCCAAUCUUUGUUAUUUUUUUUGGUCUCCAAGUUUUAUCGUAGAACUCGCCGAGAAUUUAAGUAGAUCCCAACAAAUGCCUUAGACUUAAAGUUGACGUCUUUUGUCUGUGAUUAGGGUCAAGGAAGGUCGCCGUAGGUUGCAGAUAUAUUUGCAAGGUUAGAAAGAACCAUUUCUUAAUAUGUGUUGGGGUACAGACAUGUGCAUCUGAAAUGUUUGUAAUUCAAGAAGAAGCAGAAGUCUUUUAUAGGUCACGAAUAUCAUGACAUCCAAGAUGGUCUUCAAAU